UACAGAGGGGGCAAGCGUUAUUCGGAAUUAUUGGGCGUAAAGGGCGCGUAGGCGGCCUGGCAAGUGGAAGGUGAAAUCCCUCGGCUUAACCGAGGAACUGCCCUCCAAACUGCUUGGCUUGAGACCGGGAGAGGUGAGUGGAAUUCCCAGUGUAGCGGUGAAAUGCGUAGAUAUUGGGAGGAACACCAGUGGCGAAGGCGGCUCACUGGACCGGUACUGACGCUGACGGCGACGAAAGCGGUGGGGAGCAAAACGGG
rnacentral:rRNA from 1 species